rnacentral:rRNA from 1 species
GAUGAACGCCGGCGGCGUGCCUAAUACAUGCAAGUCGAGCGAACGGACGAGAAGCUUGCUUUUCUGAUGUUAGCGGCGGACGGGUGAGUAACACGUGGAUAACCUACCUAUAAGACUGGGAUAACUUCGGGAAACCGGAGCUAAUACCGGAUAAUAUUUUGAACCGCAUGGUUCAAAAGUGGAAGACGGUCUUGCUGUCACUUAUAGAUGGAUCCGCGCUGCAUUAGCUAGUUGGUAAGGUAACGGCUUACCAAGGCAACGAUGCAUAGCCGACCUGAGAGGGUGAUCGGCCACACUGGAACUGAGACACGGUCCAGACUCCUACGGGAGGCAGCAGUAGGGAAUCUUCCGCAAUGGGCGAAAGCCUGACGGAGCAACGCCGCGUGAGUGAUGAAGGUCUUCGGAUCGUAAAACUCUGUUAUUAGGGAAGAACAUAUGUGUAAGUAACUGUGCACAUCUUGACGGUACCUAAUCAGAAAGCCACGGCUAACUACGUG